AUAUGAAUUGUGUCGAUGACAUCUGCACAAGUAAAUCACAUAUAUAGGGAUCAUCUAUUGUGUUAAAUAGUGUAUACAAGGACUGUUCAAAAAGUUCCCGGAAUUUUUUAAUUGCGUGCGUCUGGAGAGUCCGGUGGUCAAAUUUUUUUUUAUUGUGUUGGUACAUAUGUCCCUAAUGUAUGGUGAAAUUUUCAGCUGUAUUCAUUGUUUACAUUCUGUCUUGUAGCGGCUGGUGUAGACGUGUUUUUUGAGCUCGGCGAUUUUUGUCUUGGUGACGUUGGGUGCUUCCACGUGGACGAUUGUGCUUUUGUUUCGACAUCAUAACCAUACACCCAUGUUUCAUCACCAGUUAUGACCCUUUCAAGUAAAUUUGGAUCGUCGUUGACGUCGUUUAACAGCUCCUGAGCGAUGGUAAUGCGUUUGUUUUUUUGAUCAAAAUUCAGCAGUUUUGAAACGAAUUUUGCCAAGGGGCAAAUCACUCUAAACUUUGUCUGAAAACAAAUUCAACAGCAAAAUGCUCGUCAAGAUGUGGUUUGUCUUAACUCAACAAAAUGUGUUUCACCCGGGUUAUCUUAUAAGUCGCAUAAGACGUAAGCGAGUGAAAGAUAAAUAAAUGAUUCCAACAAUACUGGUUGAUUUCGAAUCAAAGAUGUUCUUGAUAAAGGAUUUAGAGAACAAAUUAUGCGGAGUAUGACGAGUCCUCUUCGUUAUUUGGUCCAACUCUACACUGAUAAAAACAAGUCGGAUCGAUUUAUAUGUAGCACUUUAAAUAAAUUUAACGAAGUCAUAGGAGCUGCUGACAAAAUGCUAACACUUAGUUGAUGAAUCAUGUUCGUCAUUAAUCAACAAAAUGGCAAUGCCGGUUCUACUAAGGAUCUCUCCAAAAAAUCAAAAUCUGGUAUUCCAUGUGCCAAAGAUUAGUUUUUUUAUAUAAUUUCAUGUGUUAUGUAAUAGUCAUAAAAUGCUACGAACUUGAUGAAGUACAAUUCUU